rnacentral:rRNA from 1 species
GACGAACGCUGGCGGCGUGCUUAACACAUGCAAGUCGAGCGGUAAGGCCCUUUCGGGGGUACACGAGCGGCGAACGGGUGAGUAACACGUGGGUGACCUGCCCUCAGCUCUGGGAUAAGCCCGGGAAACUGGGUCUAAUACCGGAUAUGACUCCAUGACGCAUGUUGUGGGGUGGAAAGCCUUGUGCGGCUGAGGAUGGGCCCGCGGCCUAUCAGCUUGUUGGUGGGGUGAUGGCCACCAAGGCGACGACGGGUAGCCGGCCUGAGAGGGCGACCGGCCACACUGGGACUGAGAUACGGCCCAGACUCCUACGGGAGGCAGGCAGUGGGGAAUCUUGCGCAAUGGGCGAAAGCCUGACGCAGCGACGCCGCGUGAGGGAUGACGGCCU